rnacentral:tRNA from 1 species
GCCGACGUAGCUCAAUUGGUAGAGCAACGGUUUUGUAAACCGUCGGUUCAGGGUUCAAGUCCCUGCGUCGGCUCCA